AGUGGAUGGGGAGCAACCUAUGUUGUGCGUGUGUAAAGGUAGUGCCAAGAAAAGCGAUGAUCAUGUUGAAAAUCAAUUCCCGGUACCCGAAACCGACACAGGUGGGCAAGUAGAGAAUACUAAGGGGCGCGAGGUAACUCUCUCCAAGGAACUCGGCAAAAUGACCCCGUAACUUAGGGAGAAGGGGUGCCACCGAGAGGUGGUCGCAGUGAAGAGGCCCAGGCCACUGUUUAGCAAAAACAUAGGUCUCUGCAAACUCGAAAGAGGAGGUAUAGGGGCUGACGCCUGCUCAGUGCCGGAAGGUUAAAGAAGUUGGUCAGUUUUAGGAUGAAGCUAGCGACUGAAGCCCCGGUGAACGGCGGCCGUAACUAUAACGGUCCUAAGGUAGCGAAAUUCCUUGUCGGGUAAGUUCCGACCCGCACGAAAGGCGUAACGAUCUGGGCGCUGUCUCGGAGAGAGGCUCGGCGAAAUAGGAUUGUCUGUGAAGAUACGGACUACCUGCAUUUGGACAGAAAGACCCUAUGAAGCUUUACUAUAGCUUGGAAUUGUGUUCGGGCUUCCUGUGCGCAGGAUAGGUGGGAGGCGUAGAAGGUAUUCUUGUGGGGAUACUGGAGCCAACGGUGAGAUACCACUCUCAGGAGGCUAGAAUUCUAACUUAAUUAAGGACAGUUUCAGGUGGGUAGUUUGACUGGGGCGGUCGCCUCCAAAAAGGUAACGGAGGCGUACAAAGGUUCCCUCAGACUGGUUGGAAAUCAGUCGAAGAGUGCAAAGGCAGAAGGGAGCUUGACUGCGAGAAGUACAGUUCGAGCAGGGUGGAAACACGGUCUUAGUGAUCCGACGGUGCUGUGUGGAAGGGCCGUCGCUCAACGGAUAAAAGUUACUCUAGGAUAACAGGCUGAUCUCCCCCAAGAGUUCACAUCGACGGGGAGGUUUGGCACCUCGAUGUCGGCUCAUCGCAACCUGGGGCGGAAGUACGUCCCAAGGGUUGGGCUGUUCGCCCAUUAAAGCGGUACGUGAGCUGGGUUCAGAACGUCGUGAGACAGUUCGGUCCAUAUCCGAUGUAGGCGUGAGAAUAUUGAGAGGAGCCUUCCUUAGUACGAGAGGACCGGGAAGGACGCACCGCUGGUGUACCUGUUAUGAUGCCAAUUGUAAACGCAGGGUAGCCAAGUGCGGAGAGGAUAACCGCUGAAAGCAUCUAAGUGGGAAGCCCACCUCAAGAUGAGUAUUCUGGUGUAAGGUCACGGGAAGACGACCCGUAAAUAGGCACGAGGUGGAAGUGCAGAGAUGUAUGAAGCCGAAGUGUACUAAUAGACCGUCGGCUUGAC
rnacentral:rRNA from 1 species